AAACUCGAUUCUCAUGCAAAAAUAAGGAAUCACAGCUGCACUGAACCGCGGAAGAAGACUGUAGGCAAUGGAAUUACGAGUGAAGGACCUCAACAUCAUCAACCGUCAAAUGGAUUUAGGAAACUCGUACUCUCGAGGAGGAAACUUCAUGGCAAUUGAGCCACAGCCGCAGGCAGUCUUUCGCCGGGUGCAAAUGCAUGCUUCUACCAACGGAUGAUGGGGUCUGACGAUGGAGUUGACGGGAACAUUCGCACAGAAGAGGAAUUUGUGAGGAUUCUGAACCACUCAUUGAGGCCGUGGAGUGUGUUGUUUAAUGAGUAAUACAGCUAACUGCAGUGUUCCACAAGACUGUUACCAGACCUUCAUGGGACCUUUCCGUUCUUUCUGGGUUGUCUUGAGGUUAUUCAGCGUUAGAGAGCAACUGAAAACAGGUUGGUAGCCUACUGUACUCUAUAGACUGUAUGGAAUGUAAUAUGUAUACAAUAUGUUCUAUGCUGUGUUUUUCCAUCACUAUGUACAGAUAUUGUGAUUCAAGGUAAUACAUACAAUUCAUUUACAUUCACCUGUCUUUGCAGGACACAGACCCAAACCAGAGGACAACAACUCUACAUUGACUCAGAGGAAUCCUCCAGG